GAUGAACGCUGACAGAAUGCUUAACACAUGCAAGUCUACUUGAACUUCGGUUUGGGUGGCGGACGGGUGAGUAACGCGUAAAGAACUUGCCUCACAGUUAGGGACAACAUUUGGAAACGAAUGCUAAUACUUGAUAUUAUGAUUUUAGGGCAUCCUAAGAUUAUGAAAGCUAUAUGCGCUGUGAGAGAGCUUUGCGUCCCAUUAGCUAGUUGGAGAGGUAACGGCUCACCAAGGCGAUGAUGGGUAGCCGGCCUGAGAGGGUGAACGGCCACAAGGGGACUGAGACACGGCCCUUACUCCUACGGGAGGCAGCAGUGGGGAAUAUUGGACAAUGGACCAAAAGUCUGAUCCAGCAAUUCUGUGUGCACGAUGACGUUUUUCGGAAUGUAAAGUGCUUUCAGUUGGGAAGAAAAAAAUGACGGUACCAACAGAAGAAGUGACGGCUAAAUACGUGCCAGCAGCCGCGGUAAUACGUAUGUCACAAGCGUUAUCCGGAUUUAUUGGGCGUAAAGUGCGUCUAGGUGGUUAUGUAAGUCUGAUGUGAAAAUGCAGGGCUCAACUCUGUAUUGCGUUGGAAACUGCAUGACUAGAGUACCGGAGAGGUAAGCGGAACUACAAGUGUAGAGGUGAAAUUCGUAGAUAUUUGUAGGAAUGCCGAUGGGGAAGCCAGCUUACUGGACAGAUACUGGCGCUAAAGCGCGAAAGCGUGGGUAGCAAACAGG
rnacentral:rRNA from 1 species